GUUAUUCUGUGUGUUAUUAAUUUCCGUUGCAUGUUGGUUUCAAUGUUAUCAACAUUCUGUUUAUACUUUUUGGUAAUUUGGGGCACUAAACUCUUUCAUGCCUAUUAAAUAUUUUAUAAUUAAUCUAAUUUCACAAUUUUAGAAAUAAAUAAAAUAAAAAAUAAGAAGUUAAAGAAAAAAAAAUAAAAAAUAUAUAGUUUACAAAUAAUUAAACUCUCAAUUGUA
rnacentral:lncRNA from 1 species